UACGAAGGGGGCUAGCGUUGCUCGGAAUCACUGGGCGUAAAGGGCGCGUAGGCGGCCAUUCAAGUCAGAGGUGAAAGCCCAGGGCUUAACCCUGGAAUUGCCUUUGAUACUGUUUGGCUUGAGACCGGAAGAGGUUAGUGGAACUGCGAGUGUAGAGGUGAAAUUCGUAGAUAUCAGGAGGAACACCGGUGGCGAAGGCGGCUUUCUGGACACUUACUGACGCUGAGACGCGAAAGCGUGGGGAGCAAACAGG
rnacentral:rRNA from 1 species